ACUUAUAUAGUAUAACCAUUAUUUUUAACUUCCAAUUAAAAGAUCUAUUAAAAGUAUAAGUA
rnacentral:tRNA from 1 species